rnacentral:rRNA from 1 species
UGGGGAAUAUUGCACAAUGGGCGCAAGCCUGAUGCAGCAUGCCGCGUGUAUGAAGAAGGCCUUCGGGUUGUAAAGUACUUUCAGCGGGGAGGAAGGGAGUAAAGUUAAUACCUUUGCUCAUUGACGUUACCCGCAGAAGAAGCACCGGCUAACUCCGUGCCAGCAGCCGCGGUAAUACGGAGGGUGCAAGCGUUAAUCGGAAUUACUGGGCGUAAAGCGCACGCAGGCGGUUUGUUAAGUCAGAUGUGAAAUCCUCGGGCUCAACCUGGGAACUGCAUCUGAUACUGGCAAGCUUGAGUCUCGUAGAGGGGGGUAGAAUUCCAGGUGUAGCGGUGAAAUGCGUAGAGAUCUGGAGGAAUACCGGUGGCGAAGGCGGCCCCCUGGACGAAGACUGACGCUCAGGUGCGAAAGCGUGGGGAGCAAACAGG